GCCUCCAGGGUACCCAGCGCGCCGCUCAUCGGGGGUCGACAGUAUGCGCCGCCAUGAGGGUCCACAUGAGCCGCGUCGGGAGUCCACCCGCUCUCACCUCGCUGAUUUUCCCGGCGCGCUACCCUGCUCAAUGGAGAACGCGCCAUCAGCCGUGGCCCUGCUCACCGGCCUGAGAAGCCAUCGCCAGGGCCGCCCUUGGGACUCCAUCCUCUCUCGCCCCAUCUACUAAUUUGCUGCUACUGGAUGUUACUUUCCCGCCUUUGCGUGCAAUCGCCGCCAGUCAACUCUCACGAGACUGCCUCCCGCGUGCGCACUACCGGCCAGUGCCGUUCUGCCCCUCAGUUUCGACCCAUAGUGGCAUGAAUCUUGGAGAACUACACUGUUGUUUUGCUCGACCUGCGCUUCUGCUGGUGACGUCAACCAACUGGUGAUGUGAAGUGCACUUUGGAUGAUUUAUGUGCUUGGUUCAGCUGGCACCUAUCAUCAAGACGCAGAUGCGGCCGAUUUUUGGUGUCCGCUUGUUUUUUAUUUGGAUACUUUUUCUGUUGAAUUUAUACUGCUUCUUGUCCCAUCCAACCGUGUGAUUAAUUUCUUCACUGUGUCUAUACUUUUCUUAUAUUUGGAUCCACUUUUCUGUCUAAUUUAUGCUGCUUGCAUGCUAGUUUACAGAGAACUAAUAGAAAGUAUAUGCUGGAAGUGCACAUAGGAGAAAAUAGGCAGUUCUUUAUAUAUAAAAUAAUAUAAGUGCUAUUCAUUUUGUAACUCUACCUUCUUCCGUCCAAAAAGUUCAUCAUUUUGGUAGUUCGUUUGGUAUUCACGGGGAGUUCAUUCAUUAGAGGAAGUUUAGUUUGGAUUGAAAAAACAGUUCGAUCAUGCCACACAUGUAGUUUUUAUUUCUUUUCUUGUGAAGUCCAAUUCAUAUGCACUUGAAAGUUCACAAUUUGUAUAUGUAAAAAUUGCAGACAUUACAUACUUGGACAAACUGCAUAUAUUUCAGCCGAUUAGUUCAUUUGAUCUAUGCAUGAAGUUCACAUGUUUUUUCCCUGGGAGUUCGCCGUGUCAAUCAUUUUGUUGGCAAGGUCACACAAUUUUUAUGUGGAAGUUCACUUUCUCACAAUGUGACAGUUUGCUAUUGCAGAGCUUGAGGGUGCAGAACCGAAGUGACGUUCCGAACUCCUACGAAGGACGCUCCAGGCCUCCAUCUCCAGACCUCAAUGAGACCGUGGCAUCAUGUGCUCUCCAGUGAUGCGCCUGAUUGAUUACCAGCGCUUCCACCUACGUCAUGUGGCCCACCGUGAAGUCCACCGUGUGGGCGUCAAGAGUCCACACCACCGUGAACUGUGAAGAACAGCUGGACUCGCCCGAGCGCGUGUUCGAAUACUCCCCCGAGGAUCCUCUGAACUUCUCCUUGCCAUGUGCUGUGAAGGUGAUUUCAUCCGGGAAGUUCACCGUGCCCCCAUCGGGUGCCCCCA